CAGAAAAUAGUUUAUUAAAAAUUUUAAUUUUGGAGAUUAAAGAUAAAUGUUUUAUUUUUUUCUGA
rnacentral:tRNA from 1 species